UUUUUCAUCCCCCCACCCCGCUUCUCUCUCUUUCUUUUCUUUCUCGUGAAACCCUAGAUAGCCGCCAUGCUUUUCCCUGCCUCUCUCAUGCCAAAAAUGGCAUUUUUACAAGCUUAUGCUGACAUGCAUAGCGUUUGUACGCUCUUUGUGGUGAAAUGUCAAAGAUUCGCUUGGUCCCACGAUUUCUUUUGUCCAAAUGUUGUUGCUGAGGUGUGGAAGCACAGAGGCUCCCAAAUCCGUUCUUUUCUUGGCUGCGCACAUAAAGGCCACCUAAAGCCCAAUUGGAAAAAUUCUUUCAAGUGUAUUUGAGUCCAAAAAGAAGAAAGGAAAGCUAAUAUAUUGAAGGUCGAGUCAUGGGUAAAAUUGACAUGAAGGCCUAACCAUGGGUGAAAAUGGUUGGGUUUGGUACACCCCAUUUCACUUUACGCCGUUAUAUUUUCCUAUUUUUGCCUAUUUGUAUUGUAUUCGGUACUUGUAAAACCCACAAACAUUAUUGGAACUAUUAUAUUAUGAA